GCCCCUGUAGUUCAAUGGAUAGAAUAGAGACCUUCUAAGUCUAAGGUUACAGGUUCGAGUCCUGUCAGGGGCA
rnacentral:tRNA from 2 species